UGCGGGAAUAGCUCAGUUGGUAGAGCACGACCUUGCCAAGGUCGGGGUCGCGAGUUCGAGUCUCGUUUCCCCGC
rnacentral:tRNA from 2 species